GACGUAGGAGGCGAGCGUUGUCCGGAUUCAUUGGGCGUAAAGAGCACGCAGGCGGUUUGGCAAGUCGGAUGUGAAAACCCGAAGCUCAACUUCGGGCCUGCAUCCGAAACUGCCCGACUAGAGGUAGGUAGGGGAGAUCGGAAUUCCUGGUGUAGCGGUGAAAUGCGCAGAUAUCAGGAAGAACACCAGUGGCGAAGGCGGUGCUCUGGGCCGGAACUGACGCUGAGGCGCGAAAGCUAGGGGAGCAAACAGG
rnacentral:rRNA from 1 species